rnacentral:rRNA from 1 species
GGAUCAGUACGCUGGUCGUGCCUUCGGUAUGUACUGGUGUUACUGGUUCCUACCUUCUGACGAACCGUCAUGUCAUUAAUUUGGUGUGGCGGGGAAUCAGGACUGUUACUUUGAAAAAAUUAGAGUGUUCAAAGCAGGCUGUUUACAGCUUGAAUAUCUUAGCAUGGAAUAAUAGAAUAG